rnacentral:rRNA from 1 species
UACAGAGGGGGCAAGCGUUGUUCGGAAUUACUGGGCGUAAAGGGCGCGUAGGCGACCUUCUAAGUCGAACGUGAAAUCCCUGGGUUCAACCCAGGAACUGCGUCCGAUACUGGAAGGCUUGAAUCCGGGAGAGGGAUGCGGAAUUCCAGGUGUAGCGGUGAAAUGCGUAGAUAUCUGGAGGAACACCGGUGGCGAAGGCGGCAUCCUGGACCGGUAUUGACGCUGAGGCGCGAAAGCCAGGGGAGCAAACGGG